CAUAUUAUCCAAAAUAACUAUUGAUAUUAAUUUUUAUUGUUUAACAAUGAUACUACUGAGUGCUUUUUUUCUAAAUAAAGUAAAAUAAAUAAAUUAAACUAAUUAAUUAUUAUCCCUCCAAAAAGAUAUUAAUUUUAAUGAUGUGCCAACAAAGAAAGUAAAUAUUUUUUCCCAAAGCGGAAGUUUUUUUUUUUUUUUUUGAUAAAACAAAGCAGGAGAAUUUUGAUAAUCGCGCCUCACAUCUGGUGAAAAUAUAAAGUUCCCAGUUUGUUCCCUCAAGACGACGAACAUGCAAUUCUUCUUCGAUCCUUCAUAGGCACUCCGGCGGACUUGAAGCUGCUGAUGAUUCCACCCCCUCUCAAGCGUCUGCAGCGAUGAAAGGUUUUCCAUUGGGAUUGAAGUAGUCUAUCAUUCUGAAGAAGACCGUACAGGAAAUAUGUUUGGAGAAGCAAGCGUCACAGAUGAGACUUCCAGCAAUUUGGUGCCAAGCAGGUAGUUUGACCUGAUGUUUCUGAAAUGUCAGCUAAACAGGAAGGCAAGGAGCCUGUAUUUGACAGUGUGAAGACUAUUGUAGGAAUGCUGGAAGUAAGCUCCGAGUUUGCACAAAAUGUUACCUUCAACUGAAACAAAAUCCAAAACUCUCUGCCCACUAGCCAUCUUGUUGCCACAACAAUUGCAUAUUUGAUGAUUAAACUAGAUGAUCUAUUAUUCGUGAUUUCAUUCGAAGUUGAUAGCUUUAUUCUUAACAUUCUGAAUGUGUUUGAAUGCUUGAAGCUGAUAGCUUUAUUUGUAGCAUUAUGAUUUGUGUUUGAAUGCUUGAAGCUGGUAGCUUUGUUCA